rnacentral:rRNA from 1 species
AGUGAACGCUGGCGGUAGGCCUAACACAUGCAAGUCGAACGUCUGCACAGUAAGAGCUUGCUCUUACGGGUGGCGAGUGGCGGACGGGUGGGGAAUACAUCGGAAUCUACUUUUUCGGGGGGGAGAACGUAGGGAAACUUACGCUAAUACCGCAUACGACCUACGGGUGAAACAACGGGAUCUUCGGACCUUGCGCGAGUGAAUGAGCCGAUGUCGGAUUAGCCAGUUGGCGGGGUAAAGGCCCACCAAGGCGAGGAUCCGUAGCUGGUCUGAGAGGGUGACCAGCCACACUAGAACUGAGACACGGUCCAGAGUCUUACGGGAGGCAGCAGUGGGGAAGAUUGGACAAUGGGCGCAAACCUGAUCCAGCCAUACCGCGUGGGUGAAGAAGGCCUUGGGGUUGGAAAGGCCUUAUGUUGGGAAAAAAAAGCAGCAGGUUAAAACCCCGCUGUUCUGACGGUACCAAACGAAUAAGAACCGGCUAACUUCGUG